rnacentral:rRNA from 1 species
UACGUAGGGUGCGAGCGUUGUCCGGAAUCAUUGGGCGUAAAGGGCGCGUAGGUGGCGGGACAAGCGUGCGGUGAAAGCUCGGGGCUCAACCCCGAGUCGGCCGUGCGAACUGUUUUGCUGGAGCACUGUAGAGGCAGGCGGAAUUCCGGGUGUAGCGGUGGAAUGCGUAGAGAUCCGGAAGAUCACCGCUGGCGAAGGCGGCCCUCUGGACGGCUACUGACGCUGAGGCGCGAAAGCGUGGGGAUCAAACAGG